rnacentral:rRNA from 1 species
GGGGAGUGACGUCAAGUCCUCAUGGCCCUUAUGGGUAGGGCUUCACACGUCAUACAAUGGUCGGUACAGAGGGUUGCCAAGCCGCGAGGUGGAGCCAAUCCCACAAAGCCGAUCGUAGUCCGGAUUGUUCUCUGCAACUCGAGAGCAUGAAGUCGGAAUCGCUAGUAAUCGCAGGUCAGCAUACUGCGGUGAAUACGUUCCCGGGUCUU